rnacentral:rRNA from 1 species
ACGGCUCAGUAACACGUAGUCAACAUGCCCAGGGGACGUGGAUAACCUCGGGAAACUGAGGAUAAACCGCGAUAGGUCACUACUUCUGGAAUGGGUAAUGACCCAAACCUACAUGGCCCCUGGAUUGGACUGCGGCCGAUCAGGCUGUUGGUGAGGUAAUGGCCCACCAAACCUGUAACCGGUACGGGCUCUGAGAGGAGGAGCCCGGAGAUGGGCACUGAGACAAGGGCCCAGGCCCUAUGGGGCGCAGCAGGCGCGAAACCUCUGCAAUAGGCGAAAGCUUGACAGGGUUACUCUGAGUGAUUUCCGUUAAGGAGAUCUUUUGGCACCUCUAAAAAUGGUGCAGAAUAAGGGGUGGGCAAGUCUGGUGUCAGCCGCCGCGGUAAUACCAGCACCCCGAGUGGUCGGGACGUUUAUUGGGCCUAAAGCAUCCGUAGCCGGUUCUACAAGUCUUCCGUUAAAUCCACCUGCUUAACAGAUGGGCUGCGGAAGAUACUAUAGAGCUAGGAGGCGGGAGAGGCAAGCGGUACUCGAUGGGUAGGGGUAAAAUCCGUUGAUCCAUUGAAGACCACCAGUGGCGAAGGCGGCUUGCCAGAACGCGCUCGACGGUGAGGGAUGAAAGCUGGGGGAGCAAACCGGAUUAGAUACCCGGGUAGUCCCAGCUGUAAACGAUGCAGACUCGGUGAUGAGUUGGCUUCAUGCCAACUCAGUGCCGCAGGGAAGCCGUUAAGUUUGCCGCCUGGGGAGUACGGUCGCAAGACUGAAACUUAAAGGAAUUGGCGGGGGAGCAC